GGGGCAACCUGCUCAGGUCCCCUUCCACACUGUGGAGGCUUUGUUCUUUCGCUCUUUGCAAUAAAUUUUGCUACUGCUCACUCUUUGGGUUCACGCUGCUUGUAUGAGCUGUAACACUCACCGCGAAGAUCUGCAGCUUCACUCCUGAAGCCAGCAAGAUCUGCGAGCCCACCGGGAGGAAUGAACAACUCCAGACGCGCUGCCUGAAGAGCUGUAACACUCACAGCAAAGGUCUGCAGCUUCACUCCUGAGCCAGUGAGACCACUAACCCACCAGAAAGAAGAAACUCCGAACACAUCCGGACAUCAGAAGGAACAAACUCCAGACCCGCCACCUUAAGAGCUGUAACACUCACCGCGAGGGUUCGCGGCUUCAGUCUUGAAGUCAGUGAGACCAAGAACCCACCAAUUCCGGACACAGUAAGAGAACUAUUAGUCCCUGAGAAGUCAAUUUGAAGGUGAACCAGAAAUAGGCAUUGGACAGAUCAUUAACAUUCUGAUCGGUGUUCAUCAAGUCAAACUCAAAAAUCCCAGGCACCUGGAGAUACCCAAUUUGUAUCCUUUGAUAUCACCAGUGUUGAGAAUUUACUCUGAGCAGAAACCACAUAUGCUACGUUUUAGAGGACAUAAGACAGGGCCAGAUCUGCUGUUAGAGGAGAAUUCUUCUGUCCUAGCUGUGUCUCUGUGAUCUGUGGAUGAGGGUGGGAAAGCACCACUCAGUCAAUUGGGGUGUACAAAAUGGAGUUUGAGAAGGUCUCACAUCCAGGUUGUUUUGAAGCAAAGUCCAAGCAUUGUAUCACUUCAUCUGCAAAUAUUUCAAUAAGUACCCAAAAGACUUCCUAGGAUAGAGCUUGGAAAGGUUGGAAAAGUAAGGAUGAUUGAACUUGAAAGGUGUGAAUGAAAGAAGAAUUAUCUUUUGGGAUGGAGAAUAGUAGCUGUUUUCAAAGAAGAUUUUAUUUUAUCUUUCAUUUUUGGCCUAUAAGUUUUGCAGAGAAUCUGUGAUUAGAGUAUUUAGUAAAGUACUAUGUAAUUAUUGUUCUGUUAUUUGGACACAUGUUUAAACUAGAAUUUUGAAGAUAGCAAUUAGCAAUAAUUAUGUAUGUUCUAGCCACUUUAUUCAUUCUACCUCUUUUACCAUAUACUUUAAAGAUAUCUAUAUGGUAAAAGGUAAGUGGCAACUGAAUAAUCACAAAUACAUCAACAAGUAAAGAGAUGCUUUGUUUUAUUGAGUGCAUUCUUAUAUUUUCUCUUUUGCUGGAAUAAUAAGUGGGGUUUUAAACUGAUCUGUUCUAACAUUGUUUUUCCUCAUUUUCUCUCUCUUUAGAGGGUUUCAGCAGGUUUUCAUACAUUCUCAGUUAGAAGCUGUUAUAAUUUUUAAAAUAAUACUCUAGUUCUAGUUAUUCUAUCACGAGCUGAUUCUAUUUAUACAACAAAUAAAUACUAAUUAAAAC
ensembl:lncRNA LINC01091 long intergenic non-protein coding RNA 1091